rnacentral:rRNA from 1 species
UACAGAGGUGGCAAGCGUUGUUCGGAAUUACUGGGCGUAAAGGGCGCGUAGGUGGCCUUCUUAGUCAGACGUGAAAUCCCCGGGCUUAACUCGGGAACUGCGUCUGAUACUGGAAGGCUUGAGUUCGGGAGAGGGAUGUGGAAUUCCAGGUGUAGCGGUGAAAUGCGUAGAUAUCUGGAGGAACACCGGUGGCGAAGGCGGCAUCCUGGACCGACAUUGACGCUGAGGUGCGAAAGCGUGGGGAGCAAACAGG